CAAUAGCGUAUAUUAAAGUUGUUGCAGUUAAAAAGCUCGUAGUUGGAUUUCGGGGCAGCCUGGCUGGUCCGCCGCAAGGCGAGUACUGGUCAGCCGCCCUUCCUCUCGAAAGCCCCGACUGCUCUUCGUUGCAGUGGUCGGGUAGUUCGGGACGUUUACUUUGAAAAAAUUAGAGUGUUCAAGGCAGGCCUACGCCUGAAUACAUUAGCAUGGAAUAAUGGAAGAGGACCUCGGUCCUAUUUUGUUGGUUUCCAGGGCCGAAGUAAUGAUUAAGAGGGACAGUUGGGGGCAUCCGUAUUUAAUUGUCAGAGGUGAAAUUCUCGGAUUUAUGAAAGACGAACAACUGCGAAAGCAUUUGCCAAGGAUGUUUUCAUUAA
rnacentral:rRNA from 1 species